rnacentral:lncRNA from 1 species
CCUUUGUCAAAAUCAGGAAAUUGACAUUGGUGCCAUGUUAUUAACUCAGAAACAGACCUUAUUCACAUUUACCAGUUUUUCAUAUACUUUAAUUGUAUUGUUUUUAAUUAUCCAGUUUUACCAGUUACCCAAGUGUGCCUAGUUUAGAGAGUCAUCUGGUUUAGGAGGCUGGUUCAUUCAAGCUGCUCUCUCCAGCCAUGAGAUUGGUAUUCAAUGUUAUGACUGUUAUGAUUUCUUCAUGUGUUUACUCUUCUGUGUAAUAUCACUAAUUUUUCUAACCUCAAACUCUUUGCCAGUUGUCCAAACCUUUUUCAGUAUUUUCAUUCACAUCAAGAUACCAAUUUGAUAUCCUGAACAUCAACAAAAAGGACGUCCACACCAAAACCCCAUCUGUAGACCACCAACAUCAAAGACCGAAAGUAGAUAAAAUCACAAAGAUGGGGAGAAACCAGAGCAGAAAAGCAGAAAAUUCCAAAAAAACAGAGAACCUCUUCUCCUCCAAAGGACCACAGCUCCUCACCAGCAAGGGAACAAAACUGGAUGGAGAAUGAGUUUGACAAGUUGAUAGAAGCGGGCUUCAGAAGGUCAGUAAUAACAAACUUCCAAGCUAAAGGAGCAUGUUGUAACCUAUCGCAAGAAAGCUAAAAACCUUAAAAACAAAAAAAAAGGUUAGAUGCAUGGCUAACUAGAAUAAACAGUGUAGAGAAGAACUUAAAUGACCCGAUGGAGCUGAAAACCACAGCACGAGAACUUUGUGACUCAUGCACAAGUUUCAAUAGCUGAUUCAAUCAAGUGGAAGAAAGGAUAUUAGUGAUUGAAGAUCAAAUUAAUGGAAUAAACUGUGAAGAGAAGAUUAGAGAAAAAAAGAGCCAAAAGAAAUGAACAAAGCCUCCAAGAAAUAUGGGACUUUGUGAAAAGAACAAAUCUACAUUUGAUUGGUGGACCUGAAAGUGACGGUGAGAAUGGAACCAAGUUGGAAAACACUCUUCAGGAUAUUAUCCAGGAGAACUUCCCCAACCUGGCAAGGCAGACCAACAUUCAAAUUCAGGAAAUACAGAGAACACCACAAAGAUACUCCUUGAGGAGAGCAACCCCAAGACACAUAAUUGUCAGAUUCCCCAAGGUUGAAAUGAAGGAAAA